GUUCCGUAGGUGAACCUGCGGAAGGAUCAUUACAGAGUUCAUGCCCUCACGGGUAGAUCUCCCACCCUUGAAUAUUUAUACCUUAGUUGCUUUGGCAGGCCGUGGAAACACCAUGGGCUCCGGCUUAUGCGUGCCUGCCAGAGGAAACAAACUCUGUUUUUAGUGAUGUCUGAGUACUAUAUAAUAGUUGAAACUUUCAACAACGGAUCUCUUGGUUCUG
rnacentral:misc_RNA from 1 species